rnacentral:rRNA from 1 species
UACGUAGGGUGCGAGCGUUGUCCGGAAUUACUGGGCGUAAAGAGCUCGUAGGUGGUUUGUCGCGUUGUCCGUGAAAACUCACAACUCAAUUGUGGGCGUGCGGGCGAUACGGGCAGACUGGAGUACUGCAGGGGAGACUGGAAUUCCUGGUGUAGCGGUGGAAUGCGCAGAUAUCAGGAGGAACACCGGUGGCGAAGGCAGUUCUCUGGGCCGUAACUGACGCUGAGGAGCGAAAGCGUGGGGAGCGAACAGG